rfam:Vogesella sp. LIG4 genome assembly, chromosome: I
UCUGGUGACCAUAGCGAAGCGGUACCACGCCUUCCCAUUCCGAACAGGACCGUGAAACGCUUCAGCGCCGAUGAUAGUGCCGAUUGCCGGUGUGAAAGUAGGACAUUGCCAGAG